rnacentral:snRNA from 1 species
UCUUGUGUGUGUGAUUCACCAAG